rnacentral:rRNA from 1 species
UUUAAGUGAAGAGUUUGAUCCUGGCUCAGGACGAACGCUGGCGGCGUGCCUAACACAUGCAAGUCGAGCGGGGAUGAGCUGGUCAGCUUGCUGAUUGGCUUAUCCUAGCGGCGGACGGGUGAGUAACGCGUGAGCAACCAACCUUGUACUGGGGGAUAACAGCUGGAAACAGCUGCUAAUACCGCAUAAGACUACGGCACCGCAUGGUGCUGUAGUAAAAGGUGCCGGAAGGCGCCGGUACAAGACGGGCUCGCGUCCCAUUAGCUAGUUGGUGGGGUAACGGCCUACCAAGGCGACGAUGGGUAGCCGGCCUGAGAGGGUGUACGGCCACACUGGGACUGAGACACGGCCCAGACUCCUACGGGAGGCAGCAGUGGGGGAUAUUGCGCAAUGGGGGAAACCCUGACGCAGCGACGCCGCGUGAGCGAUGAAGGCCUUCGGGUCGUAAAGCUCUGUCCCUGGGGAAGAAUUAAGUGACGGUACCUGGGGAGGAAGCCCCGGCUAACUACGUGCCAGCAGCCGCGGUAAUACGU